rnacentral:tRNA from 1 species
GGAGGCGCAUAUCGUCCGGUGAUGGUCGCGGUCUUCAAAACCGUUGGUGACGGCGUGAGAGCGUCGUUAGGUGGGUUCGACUCCCACACGCCUCCGCCA